rnacentral:rRNA from 1 species
CGUAGGGGCCAAGCGUUGUUCGGAUUUACUGGGCGUAAAGGGCACGUAGGCGGCGAAUCAAGUCAGCUGUGAAAUCUCCGAGCUUAACUCGGAACGGUCAGCUGAUACUGUUUUGCUAGAGUGCAGAAAGGGCAACCGGAAUUCUUGGUGUAGCGGUGAAAUGCGUAGAUAUCAAGAGGAACACCUGAGGCGAAGGCGGGUUGCUAGGCUGACACUGACGCUGAAGCGCGAAAGCUAGGGUAGCAAACGGGAUUAGAUACCCCGGUAGUCCUAGCCCUAAACGAUGUAUGCUUGGUGUCUGGAGUUUUUAUCUCUGGGUGCCGUCGCUAACGCUUUUAGCAUACCGCCUGGGGAGUACGCACGCAAGUGUAG